rnacentral:rRNA from 1 species
AAGGCGCAACGAUCUGGGCACUGUCUCAACGAGAGACUCGGUGAAAUUAUAGUACCUGUGAAGAUGCAGGUUACCCGCGACAGGACGGAAAGACCCCGUGGAGCUUUACUGCAACCUGAUAUGGAAUGUUUGUACCGCUUGUACAGGAUAGGUAGGAGCCGAAGAGACGUGUGCGCUAGCAUACGAGGAGGCAAUGGUGGGAUACUACCCUGGCUGUAUGACCAUUCUAACCCGCCACGCUUAGCGCGUGGGGAGACAGUGUCAGGUGGGCAGUUUGACUGGGGCGGUCGCCUCCUAAAGAGUAACGGAGGCGCCCAAAGGUUCCCUCAGAAUGGAUGGAAAUCAUUCGCAGAGUGUAAAGGCACAAGGGAGCUUGACUGCGAGACUGACAAGUCGAGCAGGGACGAAAGUCGGGCUUAGUGAUCCGGUGGUUCCGCAUGGAAGGGCCAUCGCUCAACGGAUAAAAGCUACCCCGGGGAUAACAGGCUUAUCUCCCCCAAGAGUCCACAUCGACGGGGAGGUUUGGCACCUCGAUGUCGGCUCGUCGCAUCCUGGGGCUGUAGUCGGUCCCAAGGGUUGGGCUGUUCGCCCAUUAAAGCGGCACGCGAGCUGGGUUCAGAACGUCGUGAGACAGUUCGGUCCCUAUCCGUCGCGGGCGCAGGAAAUUUGAGAGGAGCUGUCCUUAGUACGAGAGGACCGGGAUGGACACACCGCUGGUGUACCAGUUGUUCCGCCAGGAGCAUCGCUGGGUAGCUAUGUGUGGCAGGGAUAAACGCUGAAAGCAUCUAAGCGUGAAGCCCCCCUCAAGAUGAGAUUUCCCAUUUCUUCGGAAAGUAAGAUCCCUGAAAGAUGAUCAGGUAGAUAGGUUUGGAGUGGAAGUGUAGCGAUACAUGGAGCGGACAAAUACUAAUCGAUCGAGGACUUAACCAAAA